GGUUGAUAUAAUCAACUAACACCACCCCCACUAAAAAUUUCAGGCUUUGUGCCUGCAGUAGAAAGGAUUAUUAUUAUCAUUAUUAUUAUUAUUAUUAUUAUUAUUAUUAGUGUGACUGCCAUUAUUUUUGUUGUUAUGAGGGCAUUAGAUUGUGAGAAUUACUAAAGCAUUGAGCAACAUGCUUUGUUAAAUUUUGUUAUUGCCCCUUACUUACUGAGUUAAAACCUAAGCUUCCUUUCAACCUUCCAAAUUCAAUAAAAUAAGUACUGAGGCCAAUUUAAUCAGCUGUUUCUGCUCUCAAAAGUUAUGGCCUUUUGCCAAUGUUUAAGAUAUUUAUUUUUGGUAUUGUUAGUAUUAUUUUAAUUAUUAUAUUUUUUAUUAUUAAUAAAUUAUAUAUUUUAGCUUCUUGCAUAUUUUUUCAUUGUAUUUGGAUUGUCAACAGAAUUUUGUGCCUUAACAAAAAAGUAAAAGUAAAAAGAAAUAAAAAAGUAAAAAAAAAAAAAAUAAAAAAGUAAAAAAAAUAAAAAAGUAAAAAAAAGCAACCCCCUUCCUCAAAAGAAUUCAUGGAAUAUCAUUUUUAAGAAUUUUAUUUUCAUUAUCAUAAACUGCUAUUUUUAUAAUUGCUAUUAAUAACUGUUGUCAUAAUAUGAUUAUAACUGGGGAACAAAAAAAUCAUCUUCCAACAAGAGAGAAUUGUAUUUUAUUGAAGAGGUGUUGUUGAUUUAAUGGUGAAAGUACCAACUGACUUACUGCCUGGAUGUUUAUUGUUGUAUGGAAAUCAAAGUUGGGACUGUUAUAGUAUGUUUUUCAAUAACGUCACAAAACAAUUCUGUUGGCUUGUUUCAUUUUUAAAUGUGACUGAAUGUGUGGGUGAGUUAGCUCCUUUAUAUCUCUUGUAGGUGCAGGCAUGACUAUGUGGUUAUCUUUGCUUCAUGGUCACUUGAUAUUCUAUAUUUAGUCCAGCUGCACAGCAUCCUGAGUAAAUAUCUUCUAUCACAUUCUCAGCUUAAUCCAAGUCAUGUAAAUUAACUUGGGUAGAAGAAACUGUGUUGAAACCUAUUGAUGGAUUGUCUGAUAAGUUGUGGUUUCUGCUCCUUUCCUCUCCUCUCCAUUCUUGCUGUCUCAGGAAAGCUUAUGGCACUACUUCAUAUUAUCCAUAUAAAUAAAAUAAAAAGGAGCAUUAUGAAGAAUUCCCAUUUUCUCUUAUUACCAAAAUGCUUCCGAUGGAGAGAAUGUUUUUCCUCUUCUUCCUAGGCUUGUUUGUUAAUUUCACCUUUAUUUGCUCCAGGUUAAGCCACUAAAGCUUCUAUUAUUUAAUUCCCCUGUGAUAAAACAAUUGAACAAAUUACGGGAAAGUUCAAAAUGGAAAUGCAGUUUUAUUCUUUGGGCAAAACCUAUUAUGAAAUUAAGGCUUUUGGUAAAAACAAGAACAUCUCAACAACCUACUUAUCUAUUCCAAAUCUCUUGCUGAUGAUAUAAUUAAUAGUUUUUUAGUUUAAGCCCAAGUUAACCAUAAUAAAUUAGAUCCAUGAUCCAUGAUCAAAGGUAUUCUAUCAAUGACUGUCUUAUCUUUUUGUAGAUCAAGGAUUAGUUUGUCUAUUGUGCCUUACUUUUGAGAUAAAUUUGACUGAUAUUUCUAGCAGGUUGAGCAACCACAUGGGUGCUUUGUCCAGUUGUGGCUUUUCUAUUGAAUUUUUUUCCCCUAAAUUACCAUCAUCAUUUCAUUAAAAAAAUCAUAAGGUACAAAAGAAAAUUACUGAAAAUAUCACAAACAUCAAUGAAACAAAACAACAAGAGGUACAGUAAUAUAUUAAGAGGGUGAAGGAUUCACAGAAUUAUUAGUGUCAGUGGGGAAAAUGCCUUAUCAAAUAUGGUCCAGUCCUUUAUGGUCUGAGCUCGAAUCUGAGGUCAGUUUUGGCUUCCAUUUCUUUGCAGUUGAAAUAAAGUGUCGGUCAAGUGUUAGGAUUGAUGUAAUUGAUACCCUUCCCUCAAAAUUGCUGGCCUUUGUCCAACCCAUGCAAGCAUGUAAUACAGUGAUUAAAUGAUGUACCUAAUUUAGAAAAAGCUAUUAACUGCAUUUUUGUUUUCCCUUGAGACUAGAGGGUUACACUCCCUUUCCUCCUCAAUAAUCUGACACUGGGCAGUGAAGUAUGACAAUUAGCAAGUCUGCAUGUUAAUAACUGCAGUUAAUAAUUCAUCUAUCCACACAAUCUAGUGCUUGUCUAAAAGUCUGCCUAGCUGUGCACUUGUGUAAAGGUCUGCCUAGUCUCAAAGUCUCUAUGUCUGAUGUUUAGUUAUUGAACUAUCUGCCUAUCUUAAUUAUUUUCAACCUGUCUUUCACAUAACCACAGAAUGA
rnacentral:lncRNA from 1 species